rnacentral:rRNA from 1 species
UGGGGAAUUUUGGACAAUGGGGGCAACCCUGAUCCAGCCAUGCCGCGUGCAGGAUGAAGGUCUUCGGAUUGUAAACUGCUUUUGUCAGGGACGAAAAGGAUUCCGCUAAUACCGGGAUCUACUGACGGUACCUGAAGAAUAAGCACCGGCUAACUACGUGCCAGCAGCCGCGGUAAUACGUAGGGUGCAAGCGUUAAUCGGAAUUACUGGGCGUAAAGCGUGCGCAGGCGGUUCUGUAAGACGGAUGUGAAAUCCCCGGGCUCAACCUGGGAAUUGCAUUCGUGACUGCAGGACUAGAGUCCAUCAGAGGGAGGUGGAAUUCCAAGUGUAGCAGUGAAAUGCGUAGAUAUUUGGAAGAACACCAAUGGCGAAGGCAGCCUCCUGGGAUGUCACUGACGCUCAUGCACGAAAGCGUGGGGAGCAAACA